rnacentral:rRNA from 1 species
GACAGAGGCCUCGAGCGUUAGGCGGAAUCACUGGGCUUAAAGCGUGUGUAGGCGGAUCGUUAAGUGCCUUGUGAAAUCCCACGGCUUAACUGUGGAACGGCUGGGCAUACUGGCGGUCUUGAGCCAUCUAGGGGCGACUGGAACAAACGGUGGAGCGGUGAAAUGCGUAGAUAUCGUUUGGAACGCCAAUGGUGAAAACAGGUCGCUGGGGAUGAGCUGACGCUGGAGACACGAAAGCCAGGGGAGCAAACGGG